AAAAAAUAUAGAAACUUUAUUAAUUUAAUAUAUAAAUUAAAAUAUAAAAGGAAAUUACCUAUUUAUCGGUUUAGUAUAAAAGAUCAUUUAUUAGGUUGUUAUAAUUUCUUUUUUAGUAACACUAGAAAUUCAAAUUAUAUUUAUUUUGAUGAUCAAUUGGUAUUUUCUUAUUUUACCAAUUUAAGGCUAAUGCUAGUUAUUUUUACUGAUUAUAUAUUAAAAUUAGGAAUUACAUUGUUUUUGAUUUUCAUACUUUUAAAUAAUCACGUGUUUAUAAAUGCUAAUGUCGCCGGCGGAAGUAGUAGCAACCGUGUCGCUACCACUGCCACUACCAGUAACAGUGACGGUUAUGUACAUUUUCACGAAAUAUCUUUAAAACAAAAUAGUGAUGAAAAAAUAAAAUUUCCUACAAGCUUCGAUUUGAAUAAUCUUACACGUGUCACAUUACCUAAAGAAGAUGUUCAAAUUAAUUAUAUAAAUAAAAAUAUUUAUGAUAAUGUUUUUAAUAAUUUAUUUAUAAUACGUAAACCUAAUGGUUAUAUACAAAUAGAAAUUAAAGAUAACAUAUUUGAAACAACAUGGGAUAAAAUAUUUAUAGUGGAUAAAAUUUGUAUAUACUCUUGUAUAUCAUAUUUUUUUUUCUUUUUUCUUUUAUUUAUAAAGACUUCUACUUUCUUUGAUAUAUCAUACGUAGCAAUAUUUAACACCAUAGCAUACUUGUCUUUUUAUUUUUCCAUAAAACAAAUUGUUUUAUUUUUUUAUGUGUUUAAUGGAAAUGUAUAUAAUAAAGAUUAUAUAUAUGUUAAUGGAAAUAUACAAAAAUUAAAUAUACACUAUGAAUAUUAUCUUCUUCUUUUUUUUAAUUUGCAUUAUUGUUUAUCUUUUAUAAAGCAUAUUGCUUUGUUCUUUCGUGUAAUUUUUAAUUUGAAGUAUGUCUACAAUGAUAGGAGGAGAAGUCCCAAAAUUGGGAGCAACGCAAACGGUAGAGUGCGCUAUUCAACCAGUGUUUACCUAUUAUUUCUCUUGUGCAAAUAUUCAUACGCGCCAAUAAAUUUAAACACAUUAUUAUUAGGAAAAAAUAUAUUAAAUAAUAUAUUAUUAAUAGAUAAUAUAAAUAUAUAUACAUGGAUUAAUAUAACAAUCAUUGUGCUAUUUAAGUGUAUUCAAAUUCUGAUGACAAAAAUAAAUUAUUUUUUAAUUGCUCUUUUUCUUCUUCAUAUUAUUCUGUAUAUUAUUUAUGCUAUUCAUGCACAAAUAUUAAGAUAUAUCAUUUUAAGGAAAAUUGAAAUACUAUACACUUUUAAAAAAAUAAUCAUAUCCAAACAUCAAGAAAUCGAACUAGUACCAUAUAAAUACUCACCUUACAUUACAUGUGAUGACUUGCUAAAAUACUAUUCUGAGGAAGGAUUUUUUUCUGCAGAAAGUAAGAGUGAUUAAAAGGAAAAUAAAGCAAACAAAAAAAAAAAAAAAAAUAUAUAU
rnacentral:lncRNA from 1 species